CCUACGGGUGGCAGCAGUGGGGGAUAUUGCACAAUGGGGGAAACCCUGAUGCAGCGACGCCGCGUGUGGGAAGACGGUCCUCUGGAUUGUAAACCACUGUCCCCAGGGACGAAGAUGCCGUUACCUGGGGAGGAAGCUCCGGCUACCUACGUGCCAGCAGCCGCGGUAAUCCGUAGGGAGCGAGCGUUGUCCGGAAUUCCUGGGUGGAAAGGGAGCGUAGGCGGGACUGCAAGUUGGGUGUCAAAUCUACCGGCUCAACCGGUAGCCGCACUCAAAACUGCAGUUCUUGAGUGAAGUAGAGGCAGGCGGAAUUCCUAGUGUAGCGGUGAAAUGCGUAGAUAUUAGGAGGAACACCAGUGGCGAAGGCGGCCUGCUGGGCUGUUACUGACGCUGAGGCUCGAAAGUGUGGGGAGCAAACAGGAUUAGAUACCCCAGUAGUC
rnacentral:rRNA from 1 species